rnacentral:rRNA from 1 species
GAUGAACGCUGGCGGCAUGCCUAAUACAUGCAAGUCGAGCGAACAGACGAGGAGCUUGCUCCUCUGACGUUAGCGGCGGACGGGUGAGUAACGAAUAGAUAACAAACCUAUAAGACUGGGAUAACUUCGGGAAACCGGAGCUAAUACCAGAGAAUAUAUUGAACCGCAUGGAUCAAUAGUGAAAGGCGGCUUGCCUGUCAGUUAUAGCUGGAUCCGCGCCGCAUUAGCUAGUUGGUAAGGUAACGGCUUACCAAGGCGACGAUGCGUAGCCGACCUGAGAGGGUGAUCAGCCACACUGGAACUGAGACACGGUCCAGACUCCUACGGGAGGCAGCAGUAGGGAAUCUUCCGCAAUGGGCGAAAGCCUGACGGAGCAACGCCGCGUGAGUGAUGAAGGUCUUCGGAUCGUAAAACUCUGUUAUUAGGGAAGAACAGAUGUGUAAGUAACUAUGCACGUCUUGACGGUACCUAAUCAGAAAGCCACGGCUAACUACGUG